ACUGCGUGGACUACCAGGGUAUCUAAUCCUGUUUGCUACCCACGCUUUCGUAUCUCAGCGUCAAAAAUGGCCUAGUUAGUCGCCUUCGCUUCUGGUAUUCUUUCCAAUAUCUACGAAUUUCACCUCUACACUGGAAAUUCUACUAACCCUUACCAAAUUCUAGAUCACUAGUUUUAAAUGCAGUUCCUGGGUUGAGCCCAGGGAUUUCACAUCUAACUUUUUGAUCCGCCUACAUACGCUUUACGCCCAAUAAUUCCGGAUAACGCUUGCCACUCCCGUAUUACCGCGGCUGCUGGCACGGAAUUAGCCGUGGCUUAUUCCUCAAGUACCGUCAUAUCUUCUCCCUUGAGAAAAGAGGUUUACAGCCCAGAGGCCUUCGUCCCUCACGCGGCGUUGCUCCGUCAGGCUUUCGCCCAUUGCG
rnacentral:rRNA from 1 species